UUCAUAGAGCCAUUCAACUUCAGCUUCUCCAGCAUUAGCGGUUGGAGCAUAGACUUGGAUUGCUGUGAUGUUGAAUGGUUUGCCUUGGAAAUGAACCGAGAUCACGCUGUCGUUUUUGAGACUGUUCCUGUGUUUCAUGCACAUGUAUCAAUGUUUGUUUUCUUGAUGAGUCGCUGCCUUUAUCAUGAUACACUGUCUGUCUUUGUCCCUUGUUGACUCUUUUUGGCUGAAGUCUGUUUUGUCUGCUGUGACUAUAGGUGCUGCUGCAGCGCCUAUGUUUUGGCUGCCCUGUGCUCGGCGUCAUCUUCCAUCCGUCCACUGUGAGCCUGGGUUUGCCCUGAGAGCUGAGAUCAGUCUCCUGGAGGCAGCAUAUAUCUAGCCAGCCACUGUGUGUCUUUUGAUUGGUAAAUUAAGUCUAGCCUUCCCUUAUGGCUCAGAUGGUAAAGAAUCUGCCUGCAAUGCAGGAUACCCAGGUUCAGUCCCUGAGGGGAGAUCCCCUGGAGAAGGGAAUGGCACCCCACUCCAGUAUUCUUGCCUGGAGAAUCCCGUGGGCAGAGGAGCCUAGCAGGAUACAGUCCAUAGGAUCUCAAAGAGUCAGACACGACUGAGCAACUAACUGCAUUUAGGGUGACUACUCAUAAAUGAGGAUUUAGUAUUCCCAUUUAAUCUUUUGUUUUCCAGUUGGUUUGGUGGCUUUCUAUAUUAUUUUUCUCGGUUUCCUCUUUUGUAUAGUUUUUGUUUGUGCUCUAGUUUUAUGUGGUUUUCUUUGGUUAACACGAGGUUUGUAUAAAAUAUACCAUGGAUAAAAUAGUCCUUUUAAAAGAAAUAUCCAUUUAUUUAUUUUGCUGAAUCAGGGCCUAGCUGCAGGCUCAGUAGCUGUGGUGCAUGGGCUUAGUUGUCCCACUGCAUGUAGGACCUUAGUUCCCCAGCCAGGGAUUGAACCCACGCCCCCUGCAUUGGAAGGCACAGUCUUCAACACUGGUCCACCAAGGAAGUCCCCAAAUAGUCCUUUCUAUGGCUAAUGGUAUCUUAUCUUCAUUUGCCUAUACAGGUUCAUCCUUUUUCUCUUCCCAUUUUACAUUUUUGUUUUCUCAUAUUAUUCCUUUUUAUGUUGUGUUUGUUACCAAAUUGAAAUAACUGUAUUUUUUAUACUUUUUUGCCUUUAAUGUUUAUGCUAUAAAAAUUAGGUGUUUAAAAACCUAUUCUAAUGCAAAGUUGCAGUUUUCUGAUUCUAUUUAUCAUCUUUCUCAAAGGUUUAUGUAUUUUGAUUGUUUUGUUUCUGGUAGUAGAGCUUUCAACAUAUCUUAUAAGGAAGGUGAGUGUUGAUGAAUUCCUUCAGCUUAUGUUUAUCUGGGAAAGUCUUUAUAUCUGAAUGACAACGUCACUGGAUAUAGUGUUUGUGGGUGAUACUUUUUAUCUUUCAGUAUUUUGAGAAUGUCCUUCCACUCGCUUCUGGCCUGCAGGGUUUCUGCUGAGAAAUCUGCUGAUGACCUAAUGGGGGUUCCUUUAUACAACAGGUUAGAAGCCAGAGGCCUCUCGUUUGUUUCCAGAAGGUGGCACUCUAGCACACCAGGGCUGAUCUAGCUCCUGCUGCUGUGCAUGCAAGUCUGGUAUACCUCUCUCAUCUUCAGUCCCCACAGUACAGCUCCAUCUCUCAAGGUGACCAAUCAGCCAUUUGAUGGCAAAUAGUUACACUGGAUGAUUUUCUCUCUUUAAUUUACUCAGUGUCAGUGAUGUGUUUUUCAUUUAUAAGUUCUGUUUCCUGGAGUAAGGCGUACUGUCUAAGAAGUUAAGCCUUAGAAGUAAGAGCAAAACUGGAACAGAUCAGUGUCUUGGCCAGGCCACUGAGGUCUCAGAGAGUAUCUGAUUUAAUGUAAUUUAGUGUAAUAGGUUCCACUUGGCAUUGCCUCAGACCAAGGGGCCUACUUUAUGGCAAAUGAGUUGUUGCAAUGUAUAUGUGACUGUGGAAUCCACUGGACUUACCAUUCACCACUGCACGCAGAAGAUGCUGCCUUUAAAGAAUGUGAGAAUGUCUCUUAAACAUGCAGCUAAGGCAUCAGGCUGGGAGUGGGGAGCUGCCCUCCUAGAUGAGACAUGUGUUUUGAGCUGAAGGCCAUUGUAAGGUGCUGUUCCUUAGCAGUGAGCUAGAACGCAUAGGUCUGAGAGCCAAGAGGAGGAAGUGGGCACACCCACUCUCACCACGCCUCCUGGUUUCCAGUUCGGGAAAAUGAGGCAUCCUGUCCGUAAAACUUUCCCCUGUGUUGGGCCAGAGAUCCUUGUUGCCUGAAAGAAGAAAGGAAACUGGUUGCCAGACUGAGGCCAGGUCGGAGCACCAGGAUCAGAUCGUUGAAGGAGUUCAGGAGGAUGGGAAGGAGCAGGAGUCGGGAAAGGGCGGCCCGGAAGAGGAGGCCGCACAUACGCCUGGACGACCAGGAGCCGGGAGGCUGAUCUCUGCAGAGGGAGGCAUCGAAUCAGAAAGGCACCUUCACCGCAGAAGGCCACACCCCCAGGGCCACACCCCCAGGCGGUAAACUGGAAAACGCAAUACUCAGUACUGGCCACGACUACAGCAAGGGUAGGAGUAUUUGCCUGGGCUCUGAGGGGAAGGAGAAAACGAAUAGAAAACGUUCCUGCUCUCAGAAUUCCAAAGCACAGCAGCUCACGGUGGGUCUGGGGCCAGAAGCCGCUGUGCUCAGGGAGGAGAAAAGUCAAAAUUUAGUCUAAAGACAUCUCAGUGUGACAGGUGCCCGUCAGAAACAAGCUCUGAAGGACAAAGCAUUGUCAAAUCCUGGCCUUUUACAAGUUUCACAAAUAAAUUUCUAAGGCACUUGAGCUUAAAAUCAAAAACCACAAAACGCACAAGAGGAUAAACCACGUUGAACCGUGUCAGCAACAAAAAGCAAAAUUAGAGCUUAAAAAACAAUAGGCAUAGGAGUAACAUGCGUGCUGAUAUGACACGCUGCAAAAUGCUUCACCAAGCCUUGGCGUGUGCCCACACCCUAUUGCAACCGUGAUAAACCAUCAUUUCACCAAUUUGUUCUCUAUUACCAAACUUGACGGCAUCAUCUGUUUUCUGCUGGGACCCUGUUCGAAUAAAUUGAUUAGUUCCUGGACCCUUUACCCAUCUUUGUUAAUAUGUGGAUGACACUUCAUUUUUAUUAUAUCUUUCCAGUUCUGUAUCAGUGGUGUAACGAAUCUAGUUCUUAUUGCUGGUGUCUACUGGUGUUUGCUUUUGCGGAACUCUCUUAUCAGUUCUAUUAAUUCGUAUGUUGAUUCUGUGGGUUUUCACUGGGUAAAUGGAUGAUCAUACAAUAUUUGAAUAGUAAAAAUUUAUCUUUUUUCCUUUCAUGUU